GGGGAAUCUUCCGCAAUGGGCGAAAGUCUGACGGAGCAAUACCGCGUGGGGGAUUAAGGAUUUUGAUUUGUAAACCCCUUUUUUCAAGGAAGAAGAUAUGACGUUACUUGAGGAAAAAGCAUCGGCUAACUCCGUGCCAGCAGCCGCGGUAAUACGGAGAGAUGCAAGCGUUAUCCGGAAUUAUUGGGCGUAAAGCGUCCGUAGGUGGUUCUGCAAGUCUGCUGUUAAAGAGUGGAGCUUAACUCCAUAAUGGCGGUGGAAACUGUGAGACUAUGAGUUGUGGUAGGGGUAGCGGGAAUUCCCAGGUGUAGCGGUGAAAUGCGUAGAUAUUCGGGAGGAACAUCGGUGGCGAAAGCGCGUCUACUGGGGCCGAUACUGACAGCUGCAUGACGAAAGCUAGGGUAGCGAAAGGGGAUUAGAUACCCCUGUAGUCA
rnacentral:rRNA from 1 species